UACGGAGGGUGCAAGCGUUAUCCGGAUUCACUGGGUUUAAAGGGUGCGUAGGUGGAUUGGUAAGUCAGUGGUGAAAUCUCCGGGCUUAACUCGGAAACUGCCAUUGAUACUAUCAGUCUUGAAUACCGUGGGGGCCAGUAGAAUAUGUCAUGUAGCGGUGAAAUGCUUAGAUAUGACAUAGAAUACCAAUUGCGAAGGCAGCUGGCUACGCGAAUAUUGACACUCAGGCACGAAAGCGUGGGGAGCAAACAGG
rnacentral:rRNA from 1 species